UGGGGAAUUUUGGACAAUGGGCGAAAGCCUGAUCCAGCAAUGCCGCGUGUGUGAAGAAGGCCUUCGGGUUGUAAAGCACUUUUUGUCCGGAAAGAAAUCCUUGGCUCUAAUACAGUCGGGGGAUGACGGUACCGGAAGAAUAAGCACCGGCUAACUACGUGCCAGCAGCCGCGGUAAUACGUAGGGUGCAAGCGUUAAUCGGAAUUACUGGGCGUAAAGCGUGCGCAGGCGGUUUGCUAAGACCGAUGUGAAAUCCCCGGGCUCAACCUGGGAACUGCAUUGGUGACUGGCAGGCUAGAGUAUGGCAGAGGGGGGUAGAAUUCCACGUGUAGCAGUGAAAUGCGUAGAGAUGUGGAGGAAUACCGAUGGCGAAGGCAGCCCCCUGGGCCAAUACUGACGCUCAUGCACGAAAGCGUGGGGGAGCAAACAGGAUUAGAUACCCUGGUAGUCCACGCCCUAAAACGAUGUCAACUAGUUGUUGGGGGAUUCAUUUCCUUAGUAACGUAGCUAACGCGUGAAGUUGACCGCCUGGGGGAGUACGGUCGCAAGAUUAAAACUCAAAUGAAUUG
rnacentral:rRNA from 1 species